GACGAACGCUGGCGGCGUGCUUAACACAUGCAAGUCGAACGGAAAGGCCCUGCUUUUGUUGGGUUCUCGAGUGGCGAACGGGUGAGUAACACGUGAGUAACCUGCCCUUGACUUUCGGAUAACUUCAUGAAACUGGGGCUAAUACCGGAUAUGAUCUCCUGCUGCACAGUGGGGGUUGGAAAGUUUCGGCGGUUGGGUAUGGAUUCGAGGCUUAUCAGCUUGUUUGUCGGGUAGUGGCUUACCAAGGCUUUCACGGGUAGCCGGCAUUAGAGGGUGAACGGGCUCAUUGCGCCUGCGAUACGGCCCAGACUCCUACGGGCGGCAGCAGUGGGGAAUAUUGCACAAUGGGCGGAAGCCAGAUGCAGAAACGCCGCGUGCGGGAUGACGGCCUUCGGGUUGUAAACCGCUUUGGACUGUGCCGAAGCGUGAGUGACGGUAAUGGGUAAAGAAGCACCGGCUAACUACGUG
rnacentral:rRNA from 1 species